GGAAGAGAGAGGGAAUGAGUGAUGCCAAAGAAACCUGCUGGAUUUAGGCCUGCCCCUGGGAAAACCGAAGUGAGACGGAGUGAGAAAUCCGAGGGACACAUGGGUCUAGUGUGGUCCUGGAAAAGGAUUGUGGACGCCCCUCACACGUUCAUCUACCCACGCUCCUGCCAACCCACCAUGUGAAGAUGGAUUUUCGAAACGCUGCCUGGAAGAGGGUGACUCCGUGUUUGGGACACCAAUUCUGGCACCAAAACUUUUCUACUCAGAAACUGAGCGCCCAGACGCAUUUAGGGGAGAUGGGAAUUGAGUACUUUUUACUAAUUUAAGCAAAGAUCCUUCCCAUUCAAACUAACACACUCUAGUGUCCCUUGCUCCACCCCAGGAUCUUACGCUCCUACGCCCAUUUCUCCUAUGUCUGUCUGCGUCGUAUUGGGCCGUCUCUUUCUAUACCUCUUCCCCCUGCCCUUUAUCCGGUUUGUCCUCUAGCCACUUUCCCUCGCCCAAGCCACUGACCAUUUGCCCCCCCUCCCCGCAAACGCUGAACAUCAAGGUUUCCACGGCAACUCAGCCUUUUAAUACAUUUUGCUAGGGGUGAAGACGGGUGCGUUGGGUAUCUGGUCACUUGGAUGGGAGAGAGCUGGGGCUCUAGAGCCCGGAUGUAGGCCCCCCCCCCCCCAUCUCCCUGGAGGCAGCUGCCAUAGACUCAGGGCCAGGAUGAGGCAUACUCACUCGCUCGUGCCUCCCCCCCCCCUCCAGUGAAGCAGGCCUAUGCGGCCUCACAGGGUCAACUGGGGGAAGAUGGGGUUACCUGGCCCCCAGGGUCUUCCCCAAGCCCUUGAACUCCCUUCGCUCCCGGUCAGGGAACAGCGUCUUCCUGCACUUAACCCCAAAGGAAGUCCAACGGCUCGGCUAUCCGGAGACCCAAGGGAGAGCCGUCGAGGUGAAAAACCCAGUGGUCUAGGCCUACGAGGAGAGGGUCCUGGUGACGCAGUUGGAGAAGGCAGAGGUGUCUCAUCGAUGAAGGUGGUGAUCUCCUCCCGGAAAAAACCGGGACCUCGUGGGGGUCCCCCACCCGACCCCAGAACCCCACUUUCUAGAAACUGUCGAAGGCUGGCCAAGCCCCCGCCUUCAGCCUCUUCCUCAUCCUCCUCAUCCUCCAGCCUGUGUCUCUGUCCCAGGUAUUCUGGAGGGCCUCCGAGGGCUCGGCUCUGGGCUGGGAGGAUCCGGAUAUCAUCCGAUGAGGACCACUUGUGCAGGAAGGAGCCUGGUGCCCGAGGAGUAGAAAAGAUGUUGGUCUCAUCGUGGGAUAAUCGUCGGGACAAAGGGACCUGGGAAGAGGAGCAGGGUACCCUGCAGUCCAAAGCCAAAGAGCAGUGGUGCAGGAGACCAGAAUGGAGGUGAGUCCUUCUGUCCCAUACCUGUAAGUAGUGUACUCUCUCCAGCGGUGGGAAGAGCAUGUGCCGCCCAGGCAGCAGCUUCACCUGGGUGGGGUCCCGACUCCCUGACCCUGUGGCCCCGUUAGCAUCAAAGCGAAUUUUGCACACUCGGCCAUCUGUGUAGUCGUCACAGGUGCCAUCUAGGAGCGAGAAGGAGCCCAGUGGGUACAGGCAGAGAAGACCUACCCUCUAGAGCCCCAUGCCCUUCAUAAAGUCCAGGAGGACUCUUUGACUCCCAUCAGUCUGUAAGCCCCAAUCCCUGUUUGGCAUGGACCAAGCUGGCCGGCCGGUGUAGGCUUCCAGAGAGGAGCAGAUGCCUAGUGAAAGGCUCAUCAAAGGAAACAGGGCUUGGAUGGACAAGUCAUCAGGCUAGACGGAGCCUGGAGUUGGCUCCAGCUUAGUCCAGCAGGGGGCACCCCAGGGCAGCACGUCUCCUCAAGGAGAAGGGCAGUAGAAAGGACAGAAAAUAGAGGUAGCUAUCCAGGAAAGAAAAGGCCCCGUCCCUCCUCUGACCGUCAUCACCGUCAUCCUCGGACAUGAUCGCCACACACUGCUCCCACACUGUGCGCACAUCUGCACGGUAGCGCUCACAGGACCAGAUGAAGGAGGGCAGGAGCAGUGUCUGUGCCAUGGAGCACCACAGCACUGCCAACACCAUCCAUGGCGGAGCUGAGUCUGACUUCAAGGAGAAGAAGCUCACCACCUGACGGGGAAUAGGCAAUGGCUGGUCAGGCUUGAGAGUCCAGGCCCCACCUAAGCCUGAUACCCACCUUUAAAGCAAGGGAUUAGGAAGGGAGGCGGGUGAGCCUCUGGAAGGGGUUGAAUGAUGAAAGGGGAGAAGUGCUAUAAACAAAUCCCUGACGUUGGGCGCUUGAGCGGAGUGGGAGAGAUGGGGGUGGGAGGAGAGUGAGACUCCAAGAAAGUCAAAGACAGAGGAACCCAGGAGUCGGGCCUGGAUAGUGUGGUCGGGUGAGCCUGGGGUUUCUACUCAUUUCCACUCAGGAGUGCUCAGAGAAUGAUCUCCAGGGAGAAGCAGGGAAUAGAUAAAGGCUCAGGGCAGCUAGCCGUGUGACAGGUUGAAGAGUGACAGGGCCUGUGGAGCUGAAGAAUAGAAGUGGAAGCAAGGAAUGGUCAAAGGAGCUGGGGGAUUGAGUAGUGGCGGGUGAGGACUGAGACAGGGAACCCCAAAUGUCAGGAGACAGACAGACGAGAGGACGGUAGAUGCCGGGCUGGAGAUGGAGCUUUUGCGUGGCUGGUAGAA